GUUGUAAUUCACUAGUUAUUCCAGAUGCUCUCCAAAUCUGAAAAAAACCGGAGGUUAUUUGUAUUCCUCGGAAACCCCCGCCCACAUCGCCAUUCAAUAUUUCUUGACCCACUAUUGGCCAAACCACUUGGGCGCUAGGUCCAAUGUGAGUAGGAUCGCUUAGCCAUGCUUCAUAGUUGGAAAAACGAGCACCGUGGAAAUACAUGCCACUCAGCCAAAGAAAGAUGAUGGAGAGUUGGCCGAAAUGAGCACUAAAUACUUUCCGAGAAAUCUCCUCCAAAUCACUGGUAUGGCUAUCGAAAUCGUGAGCAUCAGCAUGUAGGUUCCAGAUCCAAGUAGUAGUAUCAGGUCCUUUAGCUAUUGUUCUUGAGAAAUGACCGGGUCUGGCCCAUUCCUCGAAAGAAGUUUUGAUGGGAUCCCUAUCUACCAAAAUUUUGACUUCUGGUUCCGGCGAACGAAUAAUCAUUGAGUCCUCCUCUUUCCGGACAACACAUAUAAAGAGACCCGCCAAUAGUCAAGAAAAGUAAUUAGUGAACCUAUGAGAGAUGCUUAUAAUUAGUUUCUUUCUUUUCUAUCUCCCAUUUAUAUUUAUCUAGUUUCUUUAGUUAUUCACUAGAGCAAUUAUGAUCUGGAAGUCGAUCCAGGGCAAGUGUUCGGAUCUAUUAUGACAUACCCACGAGGCGCUCAACGGACCUUUUUGGGCUUUGAAUUAAUGCAAAAACAAUUUUUUGUGCAAUCUUUUUGUGCAAUCUAGUAUAUUCCUAUCUUAAUUAAAAGUUUCUGGCGGAGACUACUUUCUGUUUUAUUUAUGUUUUACUUUACAUAGAACAUAUUACUAUUACUCUAUUCCAAAUCAGGCGAGAGGUUAUUACUAAGAGACAUUCCGAGAUCUAUUCUAUUUUUAGGCAUUCCAAGAUAUCUUUUAUUUGUUUUAAUAUUAAUAACAGAAAAGAAAAAAAUAUACAUUCUCUACUGUUUAUAUCUGUAUAUCGUUUAUUCCUAUGAAAUACCAGACAAAAGGGGGACGAUCUUAGAAGGAAGGGGUAUAAUGAAAUUCAUGAAAUUCUUUGAUUGGUUCUUCCCAGAGAAACGAUCUGUUUUAUUUGACUGAUAGGGAUAACAAACAAUUAAUUAUAACAAAUUUGUUAUAAGAAAUAUAAAAAUGUAACAAAUACUAAAAAAAAUACUAAAUAAUAAAUACAAAGAGAUCUUAUCUUAUUCGAAACGCCUUGUGAUUUUCAACCAAUUCUGCGCUUCAAUAUAAUUUCCGGGAGUAAGCGCUAUAGCUUGUUUCCAAUACUCCGCGGCUUGAUCGAACCAAGCCUCCGCAAUUUCAGAAUCUCCCUGCCGAAUGGCCUGUUCUCCUCGGUCAGAAUAGGCAAGCAAAUUCCUUCCAUUAGAACCAUACUUGAGAGUUUCCUACCUCAUAUGGCUCAGUAGUCAAUUCUUUAUGGUGUCCCACUUUUUCUCGAGUUAACCAAAAAGGGUUAAUUACAUAAGUUUCAAACUUUUUUUUGAUUAAUAAUCAGUUUUAUCUUUUCUCCCACCUUCAGAAGAAUAAAGCGUAGGCGUUCUACUAUCGUUAUAAUUUUCUGAAAGGUAACUAUCUCGGUUUUAUAUAUAAAUAUAUAUAGAAUCUUUGAAAAAGACCUUCCCUCAUAAGAAAGGCUUACUAUCUUUGGGAUCUGAUGCUACACCGCUGCUCAAUACUUUAGGGGAUCGACUCUGUUACAUAAGUUGAUUCCUAACUUUUGUCUCAUAUUAUGACAUAAAUAAGCAGUUCUUAUUGUAUCGGCCAAAAAUCUCGCUAAUUGAUCUUUACGAUGCUUCCUCUAUCAAUUAGAUCCUUUAUCCAUAGAAAAAAGUAUCUAGGCAUAUUUUUCUUCACAUUUUGACUUCUAUGAAGGUGCUUUCUUUGCUACAGCUGAUAAAAAUCGUUGUUUUGGACGAUGCAUAUGUAGAAAGCCUAUUUCUAGUAAAUUUUUUUCUUUUUUUUUUUCUUUUUUCUUUCUAUAGUGGAGAUAGUCGCACGUAAUGACAGAUCACGGCCAUAUUAUUUAAAGCUUGUGGUAAGAAGGGGUUUCGUUCUAGUGCCCGAAAAUAAUAUUCCAAAGCUUUUGUGUGUUCUCCAUUACUUGUGUGAAUAAGGCCUAUAUUAUAGAGUAUAUAACUUCGAUCAUAGGGAUCAAUUUCUAGCCGCAUAGCUUCAUAAUAAUUCUGUAAAGCUUCUGCAUAAUUUCCUUCGGAUUGAGCAGACAUUCGUUACGGUCGUCAUUCGAUUCAAAGAAUCUCCGUUCCAGAACCGUACGUGAGAUUUUCAUCUCAUACGGCUCCUCCCUUAUGUGCAUAAUGAGAAUAAUACAUAACAUAGAAUAAAAAGGGAGUGAAAUAUUCUCAUUAUGAACUGAGCGGGGCUAGUGUUUUUACAAGAAAUCUCUAGCCAACCUUCCUGCAAAAGAUCUUUUCUUAACAUCAAGCAUGUUGAUACUAGAUAAAAAUAUUAAGUUAACUCCAACAAUUUCUUUGUCCUCAAUCUUCCUUAAUUUAUAGGAAUUAGUCACUUCAACAGCCUUCGAUGGUUAUACGGGUAUCCAAAGUACGAACGAGAUGGAUGUUUGUUGUCCCAACCAUUCCUCUUAGUCCCGAUCCCAAUAAAGAAAGGGAUAAUUUCUAACAAAGUUUUUGCGUUGUUGAUUUCUAGGCGUAGUGCUUCUUCCUCUAUGCCGCCUAUUGGUACUAGUGGUGUAGGGUUAACCUGCAAUACAGAACCCAUAGCCAUAGGCAUAGGUGUAACCUUUCGUUCAAUGCUAGAAUUGACAAUUGAAGCAUUUGAGGCUGCAUUAAUCGGGGAUACCCGACAGAAGGAAUUGUUUUAUUUAUAAACUUCACCUUCAACAAGUGUAGAGUUAUUCCAAAUCUUUCUAUCCCGACUAAUGUGUCUUUCUCCUAAGAUUUGAAGCGGUAAAUAAAAAAAUCAAAUCACACCAUCUCUGUAAUAAGUAAAUGCCUCUUUUUCUCCCGAAGUUGUCGGAAUUAUUCGUAAUAAGAUAUUGGCUACAACUGAAAAAGUCUUAUCAAUAAAAUUUCCAUUUAUCCGAGAUCUAGGCAUAGGUAGCAAUCCAUUUUCUAAUUUCUUUUAAUUACCUCUCAUGAGAAAACGAUCCCACAAAAAGUAGUUGUAUAGUACAAAAUAACAUAAAAAACAGACUCAAUUAAAAAAAAAAGAUAGACCGAUCAUUCGAGUUGUUCCAAUCUAAUGAUUUAUAAGCCGGUAUAGAUAUCAAAAAAAGACGGAAGGGCUGUCUUCACAAACACGAAUAAAUAUAUAUCUUUAUUGUUUUUAACAAAGAGUUUUUUUCACAAAAACAAAAUUAUCUUUAUCCCCCAAUUUUGGUUCUUUAUUUGAUUAAAAAUUUUCUAUUUUGAUUUUUAUAGUUUAUAGUUAGAAUUGAUGGUACGUACCAUACCUAUCCAACAAUCUAAUAUAAAUUAUAAAUGACUCGCGAUUCACUCGGGUUCUGGGCCAUAAUCAUUAUGCAGGAGAGAUGGCCGAGUGGUUCAAGGCGUAGCAUUGGAACUGCUAUGUAGGCUUUUGUUUACCGGGGGUUCGAAUCCCUCUCUUUCCGUAUCUUCACCUAAUUUAUCAAUGUUACGGAUCGCAAUGUAUCAAAUCACAUAACAAUGGAUACCUUUAUUCCAACAGUUAGACCUUUCCUUGAUAUAGAUUCUCUAUUUCUAAUUUCUGCGGUACAGAAAAUACCGCAGAAAAUGGAAAGGAAUGAAAAUAUCCCUAUCGUUCUAUGAUAUAUGAACGGGAGAAAAAUCUCCCGAUCAAGCCCUUACUUUCUUUUGAUUUCUUUACUUAAGCGACAAGGGGGCAAAAUUAUCCGAACCCUUGUUAUUUUAGUUAGGUUUAAGUCUGACGAGAAUAAUAUUCUACCACUAGCAAUUCAUUUAUUUUCAAGCCAACCCAUUUACUAUCUAUUAUUUGAUUGACCAAUCCUUUAUAUUGGAAUGGGUGAAGAGUCAAAUGUUUUGGCAAUUCCUCCUGGGGGGAUGAAUCAAGAUCAUUUUGAAUCAUAGCUCUAGAUUUUUGUUCAUCCCUCGCUGUAAUAAUAUCUCGGGGUUUGCAGCGAUAACUUGGUAUAUCUACUAUACGACCAUUAACUAAAAUAUGUCUAUGAUUAACUAAUUGGCGGGCUCGAGGAAUAGUUGACGCCAUACCCAAUCGAAAAAGGAUGUUAUCCAAGCGCAUUUCAAGUAAUUGUAGUAAAACCUGACCUGUUGACCCUUUGGCUUUUGCGGCGAUACGAACGUAUUUAAGUAAUUGUCGUUCUGUAACACCAUAAUGAAAACGCAAUUUUUGUUUUUCUUCUAAACGAAUACGAUAUUGAGAUUUUUUACCGGAGCGUGAUUGAUUUCUAAGAUCGCUCCCGACUCUAGGCCUUUUACUAGUUAGUCCCGGCAAAGCCCCCAGACGGCGUAUUUUUUUGAAACGAGGCCCUCGGUAACGUGACAUAAAAACUCCUUAUUUUUUUUAUUGUUAUUGAAUUUUCAGAAACCUAAAUUAAAACUGAACUAAAUUAAAACUGAACUAAAGGAUAAAUAUGAUAAAUGAAGCAAAAUCUACUAUCUACUAAAUUAGUAUACUACAAAGAAUAAUGAGGUGGAUUGUAUCAAUAUCCGGACCUUAUUCCUUAUUGACCUUAUUCCUUAUUGUAUAUAUACCAAUAAUGUAUAUAGAAAAAAGGUCCUUUUCUUGUUCUUGAUUUGUUCUGCAGAGAUUUAACUACAACUUUUAUUCAUAUUAUUCCUAAUUGGAAGUUCCUACCACAUAAUAAUCGGUCACCCUCGGAAAAAAGGGAAAGAAGCUUUUUCAAUAUUCUUUGAUUUAAAAAAACAUUAUCAAUCAUGUAAAAAAUAAAAAAUCAAACAAAUAGAGAAAAGCCGGCUAUCGGAGUCGAACCGAUGACCAUCGCAUUACAAAUGCGAUGCUCUAACCUCUGAGCUAAGCGGGCUCACAUAACAGAAAUUGUACAUGCAUAGGAAUUUAGUAAACUAAUGGAAUCUUGGCUAUUAACUUUUUAUUCUUUUCAUUCUUAGUUAUUCAUAAUUAAUUAUUAUGAAUAUAGAAAAAGAAUCGAUCGUUCGAGUAUUCAAAAUUGCACGAGAAAAAAAUGAGAGUAAGAAAAGUAUAUGUAAUGAAUGUGGUAUAUGUACAUCUAUAUUGAAUUGCGGAUAGAGAAAUGAUAGAAUCCUUUCUGAUUAGACUAAAUAAGGGUCUCUGAUAGAGAUGAAAGAAGAUAAACAAGAAAUAAAAAAAUAAGAGGAAAGACUUUUUAUAGGAAUCGGUAUCUAAUGACUUCAACAGUUCCAGUAGAAUAUAAAUGAAAAAGGAGGGGUAAUAAUAAGAUCUUAAUCUCAAAACAAAAACAAAAAAGGGGAUAUGGCGAAAUUGGUAGACGCUACGGACUUAAUUGGAUUGAGCCUUGGUAUGGAAACUUACUAAGUGAUAACUUUCAAAUUCAGAGAAACCCUGGAAUUAAAAAUGGGCAAUCCUGAGCCAAAUCCUGUUUUCCGAAAACAAACAAAGUAAAGACAGAAUAAAAUAAAAAAGAAAAUAAAAAAAAAAAGAAAAUAAAAAAAAAAAGGGGGGGGGGAUAGGUGCAGAGACUCAAUGGAAGCUGUUCUAAUAAAUGGAGUUGACUGCGUUGCAUUAGUAAAGUAAAGAAAUCCUUCCGUCAAAACUUCAGAAAAGAUAACCGUAUAUACAUACGCAUACGUACUGAAAUACUAUCUCAAAUGAUUAAGAUUAAUAGGGGCCCAAAUCCGUAUUUUUUUAUCUUUAUAUGAAAAAUGAAAUAAAAAAAAAAUUGUUUUGAAUUGAUUCCAAAUUGAAGAAAGGGUUGAAUAUUAAUUGAUCAAAUCAUUCAUUCCAAAGUCUGAUAGAUAACUGAUUAAUCGGACGAGAAUAAAGAUAGAGUCCCAUUCUACAUGUCAAUAUCGACAACAAGGAAAUUUAUAGUAAGAGGAAAAUCCGUCGACUUUAGAAAUCGUGAGGGUUCAAGUCCCUCUAUCCCCAAAAAAGGCCCGCUCGACUCCCUAAUUAUUUUUAUCCUAUUCUUUCUUUUCGUUAACGGUUCAAAUCUCAUUAUCUUUCUCAUUCAUUCGAUUCUUUCACAAACAUAUCCAGGCUGGAUUUAUUUUUACAAGUCUUGUAAUAGAUAUGAUACACAUACAAAUGAACAUCUUUGAGCAAAACAAGAAUCCCCAUUGGGAACUGGAAUGAUUAACAAUCCAAAUCAUUAUUCAAACUGAAAUUUACGAAGUCGUCUUUUUAUUCUUUUUAUUUUAAAGAUACAAAACAUUCCAGGUCUGGAUAAAGGCUUUUAGAAUACUUUUUCGUCUUUUUUUUAAUUGACAUAGACCCAAGUCGUUUAGUAAAAUGAGGAAGAUGACGCGCCGAAAAUGGUCGGGAUAGCUCAGUUGGUAGAGCAGAGGACUGAAAAUCCUCGUGUCACCAGUUCAAAUCUGGUUCCUGGCAUUGUGUAUGAGUAUCUAUUCUAUUGUGUAUGAGUAUCUAUUCUACAACUUAAUUAAAUUAAUUGAUAUAGAUCGACAUACAUAUUCAUUAAUAGUAUAGAUCAUGAUAUAUACUUAACUUAUCCAUCUAGAUGUCUGUAGAUAGAACCUUUUUAGAUGAGUAAAGAGUUUAUGUUAUAAAUAAAGAGUUUCUAUUAUAAAAAAGUAUGUAAAAAAAAUUAGAUUAUGUUUCGUUUUCUCUUCUUUUUUAUUUGAUUUGUUCAUAAUGUGUGUCUCCUCUCGGUCAAAAAGAAUGUUAAUACUUCAUAUAGAUUCGAAAGGUUAAAGUUAAAUUAGUUAGUUAAAAGACCUAAAAGUCUAGUCUAUAGGAGUUGAAGGGUGUAAAUAUCCAAGAUUCGUCUCAGAUACAGUAUAAAUAGAAUCCGAUCCUCUUUCAUUUCUUUAUUUUCUUUCAUAUUCUAUUUUUUCAUUCCUUCCUAUGUUAUGUGACUUUAUGUAGCUAUGUGACUUUAUAUAGCUAUGUGAUUUUAUAUAGUUAUGUGACUUUAUAUAGCUCAUUUAAGUAAGGGAUGUGCGCGGUACAAAGUUCAUGAUGUAGAAUUCGUUUAGUUCAUCCUAUUAGUUAGCUCGGCUCGUCCGAAAUCAAUAUCUUCAAAAUUUGAGAAUUCAAUGAAUUCCUAAUUGUAUUAUUAUUAUUUAUUAUUAUUUUUUUUUAGUCUAUCCAUAAUAAAUAAUAAUAUAAAUGAGACUUCAAAAACUCUCUUGAUCUAUCAAAAACUCUCUUGAUCUAUAAGAGAGCGUACAAACAUUCCUUGAAUAUCUGGAGUUGUAACACUGAAGCUUAGUUUCUUAUUAUUCAAUGAGCAUCUUGUAUUUCAUAAAAAUUGGGAGCAAUAUAAUCCUUACGUAAGGGCCACCCUAUCCAACUUUCCGGCAUUAAGAUACGUUUCAGACGCGGAUGAUUAUCAUAAAAGAUUCCCAGCAUAUCAUAAGAUUCCCUUUCUUGAAAAUCCGCACUUUUCCAAACCCAGAAAACAGACGGAAUUCUAGGAUUUUUCCUUGGGGCAAAGACUUUUAUACAUACUUCUUCUGGUUGAUCUAUACCAUACUCUAUUCUCGUAAGAUGAUAUACACUAGCUAACAGCCCGCCCGGUGCUACAUCAUAGGCACAUUGCGAACGCAGAUAAUUGUAACCAUAUACAUAUAAAAUGACAGCAAUGGAAUGCCAAUCUUCGGGCUUUAUUUGUAAAGUCUCUAUUCCUUGGUAAUCAAAACCCAAAAAUCUAUGAACUAGCCCAUGUUUGACUAGCCAAGCAGACAAACGACCCUGCAUCUUUUUUCUCUCUCCCGCAUUUGUAUAAUUAUAAUAUAAGUAUUUCACAUUAACGAUGAAAUUUAUGAAGAUUGACUUGCCUUUUGUUAUUCUGUACAAACGAAUCCUUCCUCUAAUUUACUAAUUCGUUAGACGAUACUGACCUUUUAUAUUUGAAAAAUGUUUCAGGAGGGAUCUUUGAAGUAGACGGCGAUUGAUAGAGUAAUUCUUGAUCAUAAUUUCCGGUAUGAGUAGUGCGUUCAAUAUUAAACUUGUGAUUAGUAGUAAAACACCGUUUCCCCGGUUGAGACCUAAUUCGAUCUUCAUAAAUUUCUCGAGAUAUUUUUUUACGAAGUUUUGUUAUAGCAUCUAUAACCGCCUCCGGUUUAGGUGGACAGCCUGGCAAAUAGACAUCUACAGGAAUUAGCUUAUCGACCCCCCGAACAGUACUAUAAGAAUCGGUACUGAACAUUCCCCCUGUAAUUGUACAUGCCCCCAUAGCAAUAACAUAUUUUGGUUCAGGCAUUUGUUCAUAUAAUCUUACUAAAGAAGGAGCCAUUUUCAUGGUUACUGUGCCGGCUGUUAAAAUCAGGUCCGCUUGUCUAGGACUAGAUCUUGGUACUAGCCCAUAACGAUCAAAGUCGAAUCGUGAGCCUAUUAAUGAAGCAAAUUCAAUGAAGCAACAACUGGUACCAUAGAGAAGUGGCCAUAAACUGGAGAGUCUUGACCAAUUUGAAAGAUCAUUUGAUGUAGUUGAAAUAACUGAAAUUUGAGUUGUUCGAUCAAGUAAAGGAAACUCAAUGGAAUUCAUAAUUUUCUCAAUGUUAUUUUUUUUUUUUCAUUAUUUUUUGCGGAAUAUUCAAGAGCUAAGCUAAGACCAUUCUAAUGCUCCUUUUCUCCAUGCAUAAACUGAACCAACAAUUAGGAUAAGCACGAAAAUUAAAGCUUCUAUAAAUACGGAUAACCCCAAUACAUCGAAACUCAUUGCCCAUGGAUAAAGAAAAACUGUUUCAACAUCAAAAACAACAAAAACUAGAGCAAACAUAUAAUAACGGAUUCGAAAUUGUAACCAAGCAUCGCCUAUUGGUUCUAUACCCGAUUCAUAACUAGAAAGUUUCUCCGGCCCUUUGCUAAUCGGGGAUAAAACUCCGGAAAUUAGAAAUGCUAAAAUAGGAAUAACACUUGAUAUUAUUAGAAAUGCCCAGAAUAUAUCAUAUUCGUAAAUCAGAAACAUAGGCGCACUCCUAUGAAUGUGGAAAAUAUACUAGAUUAGUCGAGUCGGAUUGGAAUUAAUUCCAAACUCAUCUAUAACCGGUUCGGUUAAUCAAAACAACAAUUUAUUUUGAUUUAACCACCUAGUUUUUUUGUUUGUUUUGGUAUAUGUCUCGUUUCAAGAUUCGUCGACUAUAAUUUUUUCAUUACGUUUAUUUCAAUUUUUGAAUUUUUUUUUAUAUUGAUAUAGUAUAAAUAGAUAUUGCUCUUAUAUUUAUAUAAAAUAUAAAGAAUAUAUAAAAUAUAAAAUAAAAGAAUAUAUAAAAUAUAAAAUAAAGAAGACCCCCCCCCCGCCUUUUCACUUCACCUUUGAUUCUUUCUAAAUGAUUCUUUCUAAAAUUGAAUAUGAUUAGAAAUUGAAUAUUCUAAAUUGAAAGAAAUUUCAAUUUUUUUUAUUUCUAUAUUUAUCUAUAUUUUUUUUAUAUAUUUUUUAGUUUAUUAAAUUUAUUAAUUUAUAUAUUAAAUUUAUUAAUUUAUAUAUAUAUAUAAAUAUAUAUAUAAAUUAAUUUUCUUAUUUUUUCUUAUUUUCUAUAUUUAUAUAUUUUAUUAUUAUUUUAUUUUAUUAUAUAUAUAUUUAUAUAUAUAUUAAUAUUAUUUUUAUAUAUAUAUUAAUAUUAAUAUUAUUCUAUAAUAUUCUAUAAUAAUAUUCUAUAAUUAUUCUAUAAUAGAAAUAGAAUUAUAUUCUAUAUCAAAUAAUAUUAUUAUUUAUUAGAAUAUUUAUUAUAUAGUAUAUUCUAUUAUAGAAUUUAAUAAUUUAGAAAUUUAUAUAUUAUUUUAUUUAUAUAUUAUUUUAUUAUUAUUUUUUAUUUCAUUUAUUUAAUUAAUUUAUUUAAUUAUAUAUUAUUUUUAUAUAAAAUAUAAAAUUAUAUAUUAUUUUUAUAUAAAUAUAUAAAUUUUUUAUUUAAUUAAUUUAUUUAAUUAUAUAUUAUAUAUUAUUUUUAUAUAAAUAUAUAAAUUUAUAAAUAUUGAAUUUGUUUUGUUUGAAUUUUUUUAUUUAUUUUUUUUAGGGCUAUACGGACUCGAACCGUAGACCUUCUCGGUAAAACAGAUCAAACUGAUUUUUAUCAAAAUGAUUCGAACUUUUUCAAAGACCCAACAUGCAUUUUUUUGUUUUGCAUUGGGCUCGUUCAUUAACUGAUAUAAAUAAUCCGUUAGUCUACCACAAUUCUCUUGGCAGAAAGAUAAGAAGAUGGCUCCAUGUGCUCUGAUUUAUGGAUUCCGAUCCAAGAGCACUACCAAAGUGUUUCAAAGAAGGGUUAUCCUGACGUAGGUCUGCUUUUGGCUUAGAUCAACCUAAGUUAAAUGGAAUCUCCAUCGCCCCACUUCUGCUUAAAGAAUCCAAUAUGAAACUUCAUACACCUUAAAGUUCAUAGGAUAGGACGAAAAGAAAAUUUUUUGAGGUCCUUAUACUCAUUAUGCCUAGCAUUGAAUAGACUGGGUAUUCACCUUAUCAAGGUCUUAAAAUCAAUAAUCAACGAUGGGUUCUGUUCUAUUGGGCGUCUAAAAGUUCACCUAAAUUGGACCGAACCUUUUGUGUCAGGCUAUUGUUCUCUUGUUCCCUAAAAGUCAUGGAAUAAGACAUCGACUUCUCAAUAAGUCUUUUGAUUACAUGAUGGACUCCUUUGAAAAAAACAUUGGCGCGCGUGUAAACGAGGUGCUCUACCUAACUGAGCUAUAGCCCUUGUGUUUGUGAUACAUAUUUUAUCAUGUUGAUAAUUUCUUGUCAAGAUGAAUAUUAAUAUUAUAUGAUCCAACAUCCUAUUUCUUUGAUCUCUUUGAUCGGUAUUGCUUAUAAAAAAUAUCCCAUUUAUAAUUAAUAUUACAUUUAUAAUCCAUCGAUGUAACGGAUUCCAUCUCUUUGUGAUGAUAAAUGACCUACUUAACUCAGUGGUUAGAGUAUUGCUUUCAUACGGCGAUAGUCAUUGGUUCAAAUCCAAUAGUAGGUAGAACUUAUUAGAUAUCAGAAUCAAUGCUAUCUAAUAAGUUUUUUGACCCACCUUAUUUUAAUUUUAUUGAUUUUUGAUCUUUUUCGUUCCAUUCUAUUUCAUUUUUUGAAUUGAAAAAAUUUUCGUUGUAUUAGAAUCCGAUUCUACUUAUGAUUCUAUUCAAUUGGUAGAAUAAAAAAAAGUGUAUAAACAGAACUUCUGUUUAUACAGAAGUUCUUUUGGUUAUUCGGGCGCACCAACUAGUUAUAGUUACGAAAUCUCAUUGAGAGCCUCUACUCGUGCCCUAGCUCGUCUGAGAGCUAGAUUUGCCUCAAUUAUUUGUCUCCUGCCUUCCGCUUUCCUCAAGUUAGCUUCUGCUAUUUCAAGAGUUUGCUGAGCUUCUUGUGGAUCAAUGUCACUACCCUUCUCUGCAUCAUUUACUAAAACAGUAAUCUCAUUAUUGCCUAUUCUAGCAAAACCACCCAUCAGAGCCAUCGUUAACCAUUGGUCAUUAAGGCGUAUUCUCAAAAUACCGAUAUCGACAGCUGUGGCAAUAGGUGCAUGGUUUGGUAAUACGCCAAUUUGUCCACUAUUAGUAGAUAAAAUGAUUUCUUUCACUUCUGAAUCCCAAACAAUUCGAUUCGGGGUCAGUACACAAAGAUUUAAGGUCAUUUCUUCAAGUUGUUCUCCAUU
rnacentral:lncRNA from 1 species